UGGCGGACGGGUGAGUAACGCGUGGGUAACCUGCCUUACACAGGGGGAUAACACCUGGAAAUAGGUGCUAAUACCGCAUAAGCGCACAGUGUCGCAUGAUACAGUGUGAAAAACUCCGGUGGUACAGGAUGGACCCGCGUCUGAUUAGCUGGUUGGCGGGGUAACGGCCCACCAAGGCGACGAUCAGUAGCCGGCCUGAGAGGGUGAACGGCCACAUUGGGACUGAGACACGGCCCAAACUCCUACGGAAGGCAGCAG
rnacentral:rRNA from 1 species